AAUUUAAACGUCGGAAACGUCGUAAUUGUCAAAUUUUGACUCGAACAAUUAUUUCCUAACCGCCAUAUUAUAUUGCAACCACCUAGUAACCACGUCCGGAAUUUUGGAUUUUUAGUUUUUUCUGCAUAUAUAUUUUCUGAGCCCUAAUACUUUAUUGUGAGAAUAUUAUUCGUCGCUUCUCGGGAUUUACUAUGGAAAAUACAGUGAAACGUAAUGUGAGAUAUCAAAAAUGUACUAUUUGUGGUCUAAAGAGGACCCCUGGACUGGAGCCAAUGUAUUUUUGAGGAAGUUUCCACUUGAUCCAGAUCGGUGUCAUUCUUGGGUCAAAGCAGUUGGGAAUGAAGACUGCUUACAUACCCGUUAAAAAAAUUGCAUGAAAUUAAAUAUUUGUGUGGAUAUCACUUUGAAAAAAAGUAUUUUAAUACAAAGGGC
rnacentral:misc_RNA from 1 species